UCUUCUUCCUCGAUCUGGUGCAGCAGCAAUAAUUCAAUGUCAUGGUCAUGGAGCAGCAGCCAUAUAUUUUUCUUCUUCUUAUUCUUCCCUGAGAUGACAUGAGAUGAGGCUCUGUUGGUCGGUCUUCAAUUCUUCAUGUUGCUGCUGCUACUGCUACAUGAGGACCCUCUUCAAUUCUGCAUCCGUUGCGGCCGCCGCAGCUUCCACCUCCAGAAGAGCACCUGCUCCUCGUGCGGUUACCCGGCCGCCCGCAUCCGCAAGUGUAAGCUCCCCUUCC
rnacentral:rRNA from 1 species